CCAAACACUCACAAAGGUUGUAACACCAAAUAGAUCAAUGAGGGAGCUAAAUAGUCGCUCUUUGUUACAUUCCGUUUGUGGACAAAAGAGAAAUACAUGUUUUACAAUGUCAUAAGCAUAUGUGCCACAUAAGCAUUCUUUAGAUUGUUAAACGAAAGUGCCGACACGGAUAAGGUAGGAUAUGUCAUAGAAAUAAUCUGAAUCAUUAAGAGCUAUUAACCAAAGUUUGUUACCAGCAGCUGGAUUGCGUAGGAGAGCGUCUACUGACAUUAU